GAAAUGCGAUAAGUAAUGUGAAUUGCAGAAUUCCGUGAAUCAUCGAAUCUUUGAACGCACAUUGCGCCCGCCAGUACUCUGGCGGGCAUGCCUGUUCGAGCGUCAUUUCGACCAUCGAGCCCCCGGGCUCGCGUUGGGGAUCUGCGGCCGCUCGCAGGCCCCGAAAACCAGUGGCGGGCUCGCCGUCACCCCGAGCGUAGUAGCGUCCGUUUCUCGCUCCGGGGCGUGGCGCGGGACCCGGCCGUUAAAGGGGCGCGGGAGCUAGGCGGGAGCACGCCUGACAGCGUGCUCAACCCACCGCCCCGAUAUAUAUACCCAGGUUGACCUCGGAUCAGGUAGGAAUACCCGCUGAACUUAA
rnacentral:misc_RNA from 1 species